UAGUCUCGCACAGAUGCAUAUCAAUAAGCGGAGGAAAAGAAACUAACAAGGAUUCCCUUAGUAACGGCGAGUGAAGCGGGAAGAGCUCAAAUUUGAAAUCUUCAAGGUUUUACCUUGACGAAUUGUAGUUUAAAGAAGUGUUUUCUGUUGAAGUUUUGGUAAAAGUUCUUUGGAAUAGGACAUCAUAGAGGGUGAGAAUCCCGUAUUGACCAUUAUUUUCAGCUGUGUGAUACACUUUCAAAGAGUCGGAUUGUUUGGGAAUGCAGUCCAAAAUGGGUGGUAAAUUUCAUCUAAAGCUAAAUAUUGGCGAGAGACCGAUAGCGAACAAGUACCGUGAGGGAAAGAUGAAAAGAACUUUGAAAAGAGAGUUAAACAGUACGUGAAAUUGUCAAAAGGGAAGCGUUUGACACCAGUGUUGUUUUCUCGAAAAUCAAUUAAAAAGAGUUAGAUUUUGUUGUGUAUUGACCUUAACAGCUUGCAUUUCAAUUUUCUUGCUUUUUUUAAUGCACUUUUCGUUUAACAAGUCAACAUCAGUUUCUUUUGUUGUAAAAAGGUCAUUGGAAGGUGGCUUUCUUUUCGGAGAAAGUGUUUAUAGCCUUUGACUCCUGCAAUCGGAGAGACUGAGGUCUGCAGCGUAGAUCCUUCGGGGUUAGAUACAUUUGUGCUAAGUUAUAGCUUUUUAUAGACAACUUGUUGACUAUGAUUAGUCUUGUAGCUUACUCGCUUAUGCUAUUUUACCUACGCUUAGGAUGUUGAGCGCAUGUCUCUCUCU
rnacentral:rRNA from 1 species